GUCCAACUCUAUGCUCAGUCAGUAGAGCAUGAGACUCCAUCUCAGGGUCGUGAAUUCGAGCCCCACAUUGGACA